rnacentral:rRNA from 1 species
CAACCUGCCGAUGACUCGGGGAUAGCCUUUCGAAAGAAAGAUUAAUACCCGAUGGCAUAGUUCUUCCGCAUGGUGGAACUAUUAAAGAAUUUCGGUCAUCGAUGGGGAUGCGUUCCAUUAGGUUGUUGGCGGGGUAACGGCCCACCAAGCCUUCGAUGGAUAGGGGUUCUGAGAGGAAGGUCCCCCACAUUGGAACUGAGACACGGUCAAACUCCUACGGGAGGCAGCAGUGAGGAAUAUUGGUCAAUGGACGAGAGUCUGAACCAGCCAAGUAGCGUGAAGGAUGACUGCCCUAUGGGUUGUAAACUUCUUUUAUACGGGAAUAAAGUGAGGCACGUGUGCCUUUUUGUAUGUACCGUAUGAAUAAGGAUCGGCUAACUCCGUGCCAGCAGCCGCGGUAAUACGGAGGAUCCGAGCGUUAUCCGGAUUUAUUGGGUUUAAAGGGAGCGUAGGCGGACGCUUAAGUCAGUUGUGAAAGUUUGCGGCUCAACCGUAAAAUUGCAGUUGAUACUGGGUGUCUUGAGUACAGUAGAGGCAGGCGGAAUUCGUGGUGUAGCGGUGAAAUGCUUAGAUAUCACGAAGAACUCCGAUUG